rnacentral:rRNA from 1 species
CCUACGGGAGGCAGCAGUGGGGAAUCUUGCGCAAUGGGCGAAAGCCUGACGCAGCAACGCCGCGUGCGGGAUGAAGGCCUUCGGGUUGUAAACCGCUUUUACCAGGAACGAAAAUGACGGUACCUGGAGAAUAAGGUGCGGCCAACUACGUGCCAGCAGCCGCGGUGACACGUAGGCACCAAGCGUUGUCCGGAUUUAUUGGGCGUAAAGAGCUCGUAGGCGGUUCAGUAAGUCGGGUGUGAAAACUCUGGGCUUAACCCAGAGACGCCACUCGAUACUACUGUGACUAGAGUUCGGUAGGGGAGCGGGGAAUUCCUAGUGUAGCGGUGAAAUGCGCAGAUAUUAGGAGGAACACCGGUGGCGAAGGCGCCGCUCUGGGCCGAAACUGACGCUGAGGAGCGAAAGCGUGGGUAGCAAACAGGAUUAGAUACCCUGGUAGUCCACGCCGUAAACGGUGGGCACUAGGUGUGGGUUCCAACCAACGGAAUCCGCGCCGUCGCUAACGCAUUAAGUGCCCCGCCUGGGGAGUACGGCCGCAAGGUUAAAACUCAAAGGAAUUGACGG